CGCCGUCAGCGGUGUCCGGGUGGCCCACCGGAGUGGGCCACAGGGAAGGCGGUGCGAAACCGCCGCGACCCCGUCACUGUAAUCGGGGACGAAACCCACGACGGCCACUGGUCCGGCUAACCCCGGACCGGGAAGGCGUGGGGAGUAGGACGAUCCGAAAGCCAGGAGACCUGCCCGGACGCCCGUAGCACCA
rnacentral:ncRNA from 22 species